GACGAACGCUGGCGGCGUGCUUAACACAUGCAAGUCGAACGGAAGGGCCCUGCUUUUGUGGGGGGCUCGAGUGGCGAACGGGUGAGUAACACGUGAGUAACCUGCCCUUGACUUUGGGAUAACUUCAGGCAACUGGGGCUAAUACCGGAUAGGAGCUCCUGCUGCAUGGUGGGGGUUGGAAAGUUUCGGCGGUUGGGGAUGGACUCGCGGCUUAUCAGCUUGUUGGCGGGGUAGUGGCUUACCAAGGCUUUGACGGGUAGCCGGCCUGAGGGGGUGACCGGCCAGACUGGGACUGGGAUGCGGCCCAGACUCCUACGGGAGGCAGCAGUGGGGAAUAUUGCACAAUGGGCGGAAGCCUGAUGCAGCAACGCCGCGUGCGGGAUGACGGCCUUCGGGUUGUAAACCGCUUUCGCCUGUGACGAAGCGUGAGUGACGGUAAUGGGUAAAGAAGCACCGGCUAACUACGUG
rnacentral:rRNA from 1 species